CGGCGAGCGAACGGGGAAGAGCCCAACACCGAAUCCCACGGCAUGCGCUGUUGGGAAAUGUGGUGUAAAGGUUGCUCUCUGCAUCUGCUUGCGCUUCUCAAGUCCACCUGAUUGUGGCUCGAGCCCAGAGAGGGUGUAAGGCCCGUAGAGAGGCGUGAGCAUGGUGCCUGGAGCUAACCUACGAGUCGGCUUGUUUGGGAAUGCAAGCCAAAGCGGGUGGUAAACUCCAUCCAAGGCUAAAUACUUGCACGAGUCCGAUAGCGGACAAGUACCGUGAGGGAAAGUUGAAAAGAACUUUGAAGAGAGAGUUAAAUAGUACGUGAACCCGCUUAGAGGCAAACGGGUGGUGCUCAAACUGACUCGAGGAAUUCAGCCCGGGUUUUGGGCGGAGUGCCGCUGCGUGUCAGAUCUUCAUCGACUGGCGCGGCGGUUCGUCUGCUCGCUCGGGUGUACUUUCCUCGCUAGUCUUCGCCACGACCGGCGAGGCUGCCUGGCUGGGACUGGAGAAAGGUGCCGCGCUUCGGCGCGCGUUAUAGUCUCCGGUCUGGCCAAGGCAGUACGCCGGCGAUUGCGGUGCCCGCCCUCUGGGCUCGCACGGCUGGCCAGUUCGGCGCGGGACUGUUUGCACUGGAAUCCAGUUCAAAUGGUUUCCGUGCUGUCCGCGGCUGGUCCUCUGCGAGUAUUGGCGCCUACAGUCUGUGGUGUUCUAUUGGGUAGACUACCCGACCCGUCUUGAAACACGGACCAAGGAGUCUAACAUGUGCGCGAGUCCUAGGGUGUCUUACUACGAAACCCAAAGGCGCAGUGAAGGUAAAGGCUUGCCUCGCGCAGGCUUAGGUGGGAUCCCGGCCUUGAAUGCCAGGCGCACCACCGGCCCGUCCUAUCUGUCUCUGCCAGUGGGACGGAGCAAGAGCGUACACGUUGGGACCCGAAAGAUGGUGAACUAUGCUUGCGCAGCUCGAAGUCAGUGGAAACACUGAUGGAGGAGCGCAGCGCUUCUGACGUGCAAAUCGAUCGUCAAACGUGAGUAUAGGGGCGAAAGA
rnacentral:rRNA from 1 species